rnacentral:misc_RNA from 1 species
GAUUCUCCGAAAAUUUUCAAUCUCUACAUGACCCACAAAAAUCCUUCCCUAUAAUCGGAUAUCACUCUCCCCGACCCCUGUACUCCAUAGUCUUGCCCACUGCACUUGGCGAGCUGGGCAGAGGUAUGUCUCGCAUUCGCGUUACUGUCUCUUCUGUACUGCUUCUGCUCUUUUGUGCCGCUGCUGCAGGAUCAACCUUCGAUGACGCUAAUCCUAUCAGACUUGUGUCCGACCGUCUUCGCGACUUCGAAGCUUCCGUCGUAAAAGUCAUCGGCCGCAAGCACCGCGCUCUUUCCUUCGCUCGUUUUGCUCACAGGUAUGGAAAGAGGUAUGAGACCGAGGAGGAGAUGAAGCUGAGGUUCGCGAUUUUCUCUGAGAAUUUGGAUUUGAUUAGAUCCACCAACAAGAAAGGGUUGCCAUACACUCUUGCCGUUAAUGAUUUUGGUGAUUGGACCUGGCAAGAAUUCCGAAAACACAGAUUAGGAGCUGCUCAGAACUGCUCUGCCACCACAAAGGGCAA